rnacentral:rRNA from 1 species
UGGGGAAUCUUGCACAAUGGGGGCAACCCUGAUGCAGCGACGCCGCGUGAGUGAUGAAGCCCUUCGGGGUGUAAAGCUCUUUCGACCCGGAAGAUUAUGACGGUACGGGGAGAAGAAGCUGCGGCUAACUACGUGCCAGCAGCCGCGGUAAUACGUAGGCAGCGAGCGUUGUUCGGAGUUACUGGGCGUAAAGCGUGCGUAGGCGGUGUCCUAAGUCUGUUGUGAAAUCUCCCGGCUUAACUGGGAGGGUGCGGCGGAAACUGGGGUGCUGGAGUGCGGGAGAGGUAAGCGGAAUUCCUGGUGUAGCGGUGAAAUGCGUAGAUAUCAGGAGGAACACCUGUGGUGUAGACAGCUUGCUGGACCAUCACUGACGCUGAGGCACGAAAGCGUGGGUAGCAAAC